AUGAUGGAUUCGUACAGAGUGCAGCUGUGGGGGAGAACGGAUCCGUUUCUCAUAGGGGUCCUGCAGUUCCCACCGCCGGCGAAGUUUAAUAUGCACUAUUUGAGGAAGAUGGCCACAUACGUGCGAACCCGACCAGGGGAGCAGUGUUACCCGCGCCUGUACUGGAGCAUGUGGCGGCACAUUGCUUGCGGAAAGCUGCAGCUGGUGGAGGACACAGCAUGGCUUUACUUCGAGGCGUUUCACAGCCUGACGGAGCGGAAUGCACCUCGGAGCCUAGAGUGGGCUGAGACCGUCUGCAGCUGCACUAGUAUGGAUGAGUAUGAGAGGGUUAGAAGUAAGCUUUCAGUGGACACACACCAGUUUCUUCUUUUUCUCUAUAUUCAACAAAUAAAUAAAGUUUCUCUGCGUACUUCUCUGAUCGGGGAGGAAUGGCCCAGUCCGAGAGUUAGAUCCCCUACUCCUGAUUUAGUGGGACAGUCUAACUUUCAUAACAAGAACUGGGACGAAUAUAGCCACCAUGCAUUUAUUCAGAAUCAUAUGUCAUAUCUCUUGGAGUUGCUUUUGGACCCUGACCAGCUCACUAAAUCCUCCCACUCCACUCACUGUAGCCUGGUGUCCCUUGAGGCUGCCCAAGCUCUUGGCUUUCUCAUUGAGGGAACACUGAAUAAGAACAGGACCAUUCAUUCUUUUAUUGAUUUAGCCCUUUAUCAGCCACUGCAAGCUAGAAAUGGUUACUCAAAGACAACUGAAUCAUUCUCGCUGAAAAAGUUACAGGCCUGGAUUAAGGAAUGCUUUGCAUUGAAUCCAUUUGGGAUGUCGGCAUGUAUAAAGUCUGGAAGAAAAUUGGCUUGGGCACAACCAAUUGACGUGUCAAACCGAAGGGCAAAAAUUGUUUGCAACAUUUACAAAGUUCCACGCGGUAAUCACAUGGUUAUCAUGAGUCACAUUUCCAGACAGACAUUGGCUAAGAGUUCAGAAACAUUGGUGGAAGCACGUGUUAAGAUAAAUCACUGCACUGAGUCGUACAUAUAUUUGCUAUCUCCAUUAAGAUGUGUGACCAUUGAGAAAUGUCGGAAUAGCACAAUCAUUUUGGGGCCAGUGCAAACUGUCCUUCAUGUUCAAAUGUGUGACCAUGUGAAAGUUAUUAGUGUUUGUCAGCGCUUGUCGCUGUCCUCCACAACAAGCUGUACAUUUCAUGUACUCACUCCUACAAGGCCUCUCUUAUUCUCUGGCAACCAGGGGGCUGUUUUUGCUCCAUUUCAUACACACUAUUCAAUGCUAGAAGACCACAUGGGACAAACUGGUUUAGCUACUGUGCCCAAUUAUUGGGAUAGGCCACAAUUCCUAUCUGCUGAGACUGACCAUCAAGCUUGGAAACUUAUGUCCCCUCGAGAAUUUUAUACAUUUGUUGUCCCAUUUGAAAUAGAAGGGGACACAACUGAGAUUCCAGGAGGCCUACCCCCAGUGUUUCUUAAAUCAAUGGAACAGCGACAACAAAAGGUACAGAUGUGGCAGAAGACUGUUAAGGAAGCAAAGUUAACCAGAGAGCAGAGAAAGCAAUUCCAAGCACUUGUUGAGUACAAAUUUAAUGAAUGGCUACUUAAGACUGGAAAUAGACAUCAACUGGACAGCCUUGUGCCCCCAAAUGAUGGUACAAACCAGGCAGCUGGAUAGAGUAUCCGGAGAUUUCUGUCAGGCACAAAAAUAUAUUUUCACUGUCAAUGAUCAUAAAAUGGAAUACAGAUGUAGCAGCUCUCAUCCCGUGAUGCGUGUGACCGGGUGUGAAUAGUCUCACCUGUAUUUAGACAGUGCAUUGUCUGUGGACCGUGGAUGUGAAGACUCGCACGUGCCUGUUCGCGGGCACACUACCUGCUAAAUACUAAUCACAGGAUUUUCACAUUAAUCACCUUCAUCUUGGAAUGUCGAAAACUUGAGUUUGCUGAAAGAUGUAACAAUCCAGUAGCACUGAAUUGACCAUUUUCAGUGGUUUUUAGUCUAAAAAUGGAAGAAAAAAAAUCGACAGCAAAUAUAGCAUUGCAACUCAUCGGUCGUUUUUAAAUUCAUAAAUAAACAAUUUAAGUGUC